rnacentral:lncRNA from 1 species
UAUUGAAGAUAAAAUGUAAGGGAGCUUAUACUUCAACACGUGAGGUAAAAAUUCCCUCUGCCCAAGAGCGUAUUUCAGAAACCACAUCAACAUUAUUUAGGGGAAUUGCCAGUGAUGUCCUGAUACCUCUCUGGGACGUGCUAGAAAGCUGGACAUGCUGGUUAUUUUUAUUGUGUUUUGGUUUCUAGUUCAAAUACUUAGGAAGGAUGGGAUAGAGCAAGCCAUUUUCACUUGACAACUAAUUCUUCAGUGCACUGUGCACUCUAAGGACCAGCAAGCCUUGUGGCCAGCAGUCCAGACUGCCAGCAUCAACCCUGCUGCCUGCAAUUGCAGCUGGGGCAGGAUGUGAGUGCCAAGGACAAGCUGCUGUGAGCGUGUUGUGGUGCAGCAUUAUUUGUGGGUGGAGGGGAGGAGGGGGUAACCAGUGUGUGCUGCUAGGGAGCACCAGUCUAGCUUUAGAGUUUAAACAGGCCUGAUUUAUCAUUCUUAUUAGUGUUGUCACCACACGAUUUCUAAUUCUCUCAUAUAUUUCUGCGUACGUACUCUUAAUGGGAACUGUUCUCUUCUGUCAUACCCACAAAGGCUGGCUGACUCUGGGCGGUACCAGCUGGCUGUGUUCACAGGUAGCUGCCUUGGCAGCUCAAGUUAACAUGCCUCUGAUGCUGACCACAGGGGAUCCUUCUCUUAGGGCCUGCUAGCAGCCCCUGAGGCGCCAAGGCAUGGUGCUGAGCAUGCUUUCCCAGUGGACACCCAAGGGACCCAGA